rnacentral:rRNA from 1 species
GAUGAACGCUGGCGGCGUGCCUAAUACAUGCAAGUCGAGCGAACGGACGAGAAGCUUGCUCCUCUGAUGUUAGCGGCGGACGGGUGAGUAACACGUGGAUAACCUACCUAUAAGACUGGGAUAACUUCGGGAAACCGGAGCUAAUACCGGAUGAUAUUUUGAACCGCAUGGUUCAAAAGUGAAAGACGGUUUUGCUGUCACUUAUAGAUGGAUCCGCGCUGCAUUAGCUAGUUGGUAAGGUAACGGCUUACCAAGGCAACGAUGCAUAGCCGACCUGAGAGGGUGAUCGGCCACACUGGAACUGAGACACGGUCCAGACUCCUACGGGAGGCAGCAGUAGGGAAUCUUCCGCAAUGGGCGAAAGCCUGACGGAGCAACGCCGCGUGAGUGAUGAAGGUCUUCGGAUCGUAAAACUCUGUUAUUAGGGAAGAACAUAUGUGUAAGUAACUGUGCACGUCUUGACGGUACCUAAUCAGAAAGCCACGGCUAACUACGUG